GACGAACGCUGGCGGCGUGCUUAACACAUGCAAGUCAAACGGUAAGGCCCUUCGGGGUACACGAGUGGCGAACGGGUGAGUAACACGUGGGUGAUCUGCCCUGCACUUUGGGAUAAGCCUGGGAAACUGGGUCUAAUACUGGAUAGGACCACGGCCUGCAUGGGUUGUGGUGGUAAGCUUUUGCGGUGUGGGAUGGGCCCGCGGCCUAUGAGCUUGUUGGUGGGGUGAUGGCCUACCAAGGCGACGACGGGUAGCCGGCCUGAGAGGGUGUCCGGCCACACUGGGACUGAGAUACGGCCCAGACUCCUACGGGAGGCAGCAGUGGGGAAUAUUGCACAAUGGGCGCAAGCCUGAUGCAGCGACGCCGCGUGGGGGAUGACGGCCUUCGGGUUGUAAACCUCUUUCACCAGGGACGAAGCGCAAGUGACGGUACCUGGAGAAGAAGCACCGGCCAACUACGUGCCAGCCGCCGCCGUAA
rnacentral:rRNA from 1 species